GACGAACGCUGGCGGCGUGCUUAACACAUGCAAGUCGAACGGACAGGCCCUGCUUUUGUGGGGUGCUCGAGUGGCGAACGGGUGAGUAAAACGUGAGUAACCUGCCCUUGACUGUGGGAUAACUUCAGGAAACUGGGGCUAAUACCGGAUAUGAGCUCCUGCUGCAUGGUGGGGGUUGGAAAGUUUCGGCGGUUGGGGAUGGACUCGCGGCUUAUCAGCUUGUUGGUGGGGUAGUGGCUUACCAAGGCUUUGACGGGUAGCCGGCCUGAGAGGGUGACCGGCCACAUUGGGACUGAGAUACGGCCCAGACUCCUACGGGAGGCAGCAGUGGGGAAUAUUGCACAAUGGGCGGAAGCCUGAUGCAGCAACGCCGCGUGCGGGAUGACGGCCUUCGGGUUGUAAACCGCUUUCGCCUGUGACGAAGCGUGAGUGACGGUAAUGGGUAAAGAAGCACCGGCUAACUACGUG
rnacentral:rRNA from 1 species